GACGAACGCUGGCGGCGUGCUUAACACAUGCAAGUCGAACGAUGACGACCGAGCUUGCUCGGUCUGAUUAGUGGCGAACGGGUGAGUAACACGUGAGCAAACUGCCCUUCAAUCUGGGAUAACACCGGGAAAAAGGGGCUAAUACCGGAUAUGAGAUCCUGUCGCAUGGGGGGCGUUGGAAAGUUAUGCGGUGUAGGAUGGGGACGCGGUCUAUCGGUUUGUUGGUGAGGGAGGGGCUCCCCACGGCGAAGAAGGGUAGCCGGCCUGAGAGGGCGACCGGCCACACUGGCCCGGAGGCACGGCCCAGACUCCUUCGUGAGGCAGCGGUGGGGAAUAUUGCACAAUGGGCGAAGGCCUGAUGCAGCGACGCCGCGUGGGAGAUGACGGCCUUCGGGUUGUAACCCUCUUUCAGCAGGGAAGAAGCGAAAGUGCCGGUACCUGCAGAAGAAGCGCCGGCUACCUACGU
rnacentral:rRNA from 1 species